UUGGCCGACCCCGGCUCUGGGUUUCUCGCUGUGCCUCUGCCCAGCUCUCGGAAAGGAUGUGAUAUCCGCCCGGUGGGGGAGGGGCUGCCCUCCAGGCAGGUGCGCCCAGGCGUCACUUCUGAUCUUGGACUGAGUUUGCCUCCGGGAUCCCCGAAUACACAAACUGUACCCAGUACAGGCUUGCUCACCCACUCCUCUCUUACGAACACACCCACACAGAGAAACCCCAGUAAGAAGCUGUGAAGAAGCGGCUGGCUUUUAAUAGAUGGUGGUCCACGCUUGUCUCUGCCAAAGAACUGAGCACGGAGGUAGCUAGCAGGUGCUCAGUAAAUAGUGGAUUGAGUGUAACCUCUCACCUACAGGGAUUUCAAUUAAUUAAUUUGCCUGAGUUCAUCCAGGUGCAGCCAAGCAAAAGAAAUGAUCCUGGAGGAAGAGGCCUGGCUUGUAACAAAA